CCUACGGGUGGCAGCAGUGAGGAAUAUUGGUCAAUGGACUUACGCCCGAACCAGCCAAGUCGCGUGAGGGAAGACUGCCCUAUGGGUUGUAAACCUCUUUUGUCAGGGAGCAACGCCGGCUACGUGUAGCCGGACUGAGAGUACAUGAAGAAAAAGCAUCGGCUAACUCCGUGCCAGCAGCCGCGGUAAUACGGAGGAUGCGAGCGUUAUCCGGAUUUAUUGGGUUUAAAGGGUGCGUAGGCGGAAUGCCAAGUCAGCGGUAAAAUCGCGGGGCUCAACCUCGCUCCGCCGUUGAAACUGGCGGUCUUGAGUGGGCGAGAAGUAUGCGGAAUGCGUGGUGUAGCGGUGAAAUGCAUAGAUAUCACGCAGAACUCCGAUUGCGAAGGCAGCAUACCGGCGCCCAACUGACGCUGAAGCACGAAAGCGUGGGUAUCGAACAGGAUUAGAUACCCGUGUAGUC
rnacentral:rRNA from 1 species